rnacentral:rRNA from 1 species
UACGAAGGGUGCAAGCGUUACUCGGAAUUACUGGGCGUAAAGCGUGCGUAGGUGGUUUGUUAAGUCUGAUGUGAAAGCCCUGGGCUCAACCUGGGAAUUGCAUUGGAUACUGGCAGGCUAGAGUGCGGUAGAGGGUAGUGGAAUUCCCGGUGUAGCAGUGAAAUGCGUAGAGAUCGGGAGGAACACCCGUGGCGAAGGCGACUACCUGGACCAUUACUGACGCUGAGGCACGAAAGCUAGGGGAGCAAACAGG